UCAGUUAUUGUUUCAUUUGCGUCUGUUCCUGAAAUGCUUCAUACUCGAAUGGGAUUCUAUGGUUGCAGAUGCAGGGAACCGCUGCUCUCACCUCAUAUUUACAUGGCUUACUUUUGGACUAGCGCUAUUAGGAACACUAGAUCUACCAAGCUGAUGCGUAUAUGGACCCUUUCAUUUGAGUCGUAGGAAUCUUAGGAUUCACAACUGGUGGGUAUACUUUAUUUUGGUGGGAAGGCUGGCCCUGUCUGGAGGUCUCAUAAUCCACCUAAUUUUGGGGGUCGGCUGCGCCCCUGCCUUCGUCUUCAGGGAGGAAAUGCAGAUUCGCUACCCUCGUAUUGCGAACCAUGGACGGGGCCUUCCGCCAAAGAAAUUUAUAAUUGUGCUUGCUGAGCUGUCAAUAAAUGUAUGCUUCGUACAUCA